rnacentral:rRNA from 1 species
UACGUAGGGGGCAAGCGUUGUCCGGAAUCAUUGGGCGUAAAGCGCGUGUAGGCGGUCCGGUAAGUCCGCUGUGAAAGUCGGGGGCUUAACCCUCGGAUCGCCGGUGGAUACUGUCGGGCUCGAGCACAGUAGAGGCAGGUGGAAUUCCCGGUGUAGGCGGUGGAAUGCGUAGAGAUCGGGAAGAACAUCGGUGGCGAAGGCGGCCUGCUGGGCUGUUGCUGACGCUGAGGCGCGACAGCGUGGGGAGCAAACAGGAUUAGAAACCC